rnacentral:rRNA from 1 species
UGGGGAAUAUUGCACAAUGGGCGCAAGCCUGAUGCAGCCAUGCCGCGUGUAUGAAGAAGGCCUUCGGGUUGUAAAGUACUUUCAGCGGGGAGGAAGGGAGUAAAGUUAAUACCUUUGCUCAUUGACGUUACCCGCAGAAGAAGCACCGGCUAACUCCGUGCCAGCAGCCGCGGUAAUACGGAGGGUGCAAGCGUUAAUCGGAAUUACUGGGCGUAAAGCGCACGCAGGCGGUUUGUUAAGUCAGAUGUGAAAUCCCCGGGCUCAACCUGGGAACUGCAUCUGAUACUGGCAAGCUUGAGUCUCGUAGAGGGGGGUAGAAUUCCAGGUGUAGCGGUGAAAUGCGUAGAGAUCUGGAGGAAUACCGGUGGCGAAGGCGGCCCCCUGGACGAAGACUGGCGCUCAGGUGCGAAAGCGUGGGGAGCAAACA